ACCUAUUUGGUAAGUUUUGGGAAAGGCUGCUACUGGUUGUCCCUUUCUAUUUGAAGUAGUUCUUUCAGAAGCUCUUGUAAAGCAGGCCUGGUGGUGAUGAAAUCUCUGAGUGCUUGCUUGUUCACAAAAGAUUUUAUUUUUCCUUCGCUUAUGAAGCUUAGUUUGGCUGGA